CUCAGCAUGGGAUGGAGCUGGAUCAUCCUCUUCCUCCUGUCAGUAACUACAGGUGUCCAUUCCCAGGUCCAGCUGCAGCAGUCUGGUCCUGAGCUGGUGAAACCUGGGGCCUCUGUGAAGUUGUCCUGCAAGGCUUCUGGCUUCAACAUCGUUGACACCUAUAUGAACUGGGUGAAGCAGAGGCCUGGUCAGGGCCUGGAGUGGAUUGGAGGGAUUGAUCCUGAAAAUGAUGAUACUGACUACAAUCAGAAGUUCAAGGACAAGGCCACACUGACUGCAGACAAAUCCUCCAACACAGCCUACAUGGAACUCAGCAGUCUGACAUCUGAGGACUCUGCGGUCUAUUACUGUACAAGACACACUGGGCUCCUGCUCAGAUACCACUGGGAAAAGGGCAGUGGGAUUCCAAGCUGGGAAUGUAGAGACCUGAUCCUGUCAUCAGCAGCCCUGGUGCUCAUUUCUCUGUUUCCUGAAAUUGGAUUCUCUUUGUCACCACCGUCCACAUAG